UCGUUUCUUUGAUGUUGAAGAAAACCUUUUGUGACGAACCAUCUCUCCUCUUGUUGUUGGAAGAUUGAGACGUUAUUCCAUAAAUGAAACGUCGGAGAUGUUGACCAAAAAUGGGAGAGAAAUCACCUGUCCUUGAAUCCCUUAUCCCAACCCUGUCACUUGGCUAAAAUUUCGACAUCAGGCCAUUAGCUCACAGCACAUUAACGCCGUUUAAGUUGGUAUUAUUCUUCAGGAAAAAAAAAAAACUGAACCUUUCCCUUUUUCUCUUUCUGGGUUGAUCUUCAGAACCCACUUGUUACCUCAUCGCCGCCGCCUCCGGCUCUUACUGUCAAAGUCACUCUGGACUCCGUCACUAUUAAUCAAUCAGGUUCAUUGCCAAAUACCAGUAAUCCAACGGUUUCAUCUGAUAUAGAAACUCCAAUUUGCCAAGGCCGAAUCCGCCGGUGCUAGAAGCUCAGACUAGGUUACCGGCCCCACCCAGACCAAGCCUCUCAAGAUUCGUAUUUUUUGGAUGAUGGGUGUGCUAGAUAUGGUUCGGAACAUAACAUGAAGAAGAAGAUGAUGGGCAUUGAACAGUCGGGCCUGGGUCAGCAAAGCGGGUUUGUAGAAUUUUUUAGUAUCAAAACAAUAUAUUUGUAUUUGGUUCAGUAAUUUUCUAUUGAACCAAAAUGAAGCUAAUCAAUAUGAAUGUGCUGGAAUCUAGCUUGUCAAAAUGAACUCUUUGGAAUGUUUGUCACAAGUUGCAACUACUCUUUCAGUUA